rnacentral:rRNA from 1 species
CGGCGAGUGAAGCGGCAAAAGCUCAAAUUUGAAAUCCUUCGGGAGUUGUAAUUUGUAGGUUGGGAGACCCCGCGGCUAGUGGCACCAAGUCCCUUGGAACAGGGCGCCUUAGAGGGUGAGAGCCCCGUAGGUACCACAACACCGUCUUGUGUCUCCUCUCCAAAGAGUCGAGUUGUUUGGGAAUGCAGCUCAAAGUGGGUGGUAAAUUCCAUCUAAAGCUAAAUACCGGCGAGAGACCGAUAGCGAACAAGUACAGUGAUGGAAAGAUGAAAAGCACUUUGAAAAGAGAGUGAAACAGUACGUGAAAUUGUUGAAAGGGAAGGGCUUGCAAGCAGACACGGCCUUCGUGCCGGGCCAGCAUCGGUUGCUAGGGGUGGAUAAGGAACAAGGAAUGUAGCUCCUCGGAGUAUUAUAGCCUUGCGCGAUACACCCACUGGCGACCGAGGCCUGCGGUAUUCCUACCUAGGAUGCUGGCGUAAUGGUUGCAAGCCGCCCGUCUUGA